UACGAAGGGGCUAGCGUUGCUCGGAAUCACUGGGCGUAAAGGGUGCGUAGGCGGAUUUCUAAGUCAGGGGUGAAAGCCUGAGGCUCAACCUCAGAACUGCCUUUGAUACUGGAAGUCUUGAGACCGGAAGAGGUAAGUGGAACUGCGAGUGGUAAGAGGUGAAAUUCGUAGAUAUUCGCAAGAACACCAGUGGCGAAGGCGGCUCACUGGCCCAUUACUGACGCUGAGGCACGAAAGCUGGGGGAGCGAACAGG
rnacentral:rRNA from 1 species